CCGCGCCAUUUUCAAGAACACUUGUCGGAAUAAAUAAUGGAGGAAUUUCAAACGACUGACGGCAGAGGAAAACAUAACCAGGUUUUUACAUGGCUGCAGCAAGUCUUUGGCCAAGAUCAUAUUCCCCAGUUUGAGAUAAACAGCUUCACUUUGAAUGUACUGGAACGACUUGCGAAAAGAAAUCUGAAACAGAAUAAGCAUGCUGAACUUGUCACAAAGGACCGUACUCAGAAGACGGUGGAAUAUUCUGCUGAAGUUGAAAGACUCAGCAGGAUAACAGAACAAGUGGGUUUACCAGUAUCCUGCAUGUCACAGUCAGGACGCAUGAGUUUAAAAACCCUAGCAUCUAUGGCCUUGUUGCUUGGGACCAAAGACUGCUCCACUUCAAGUCUUCUGUUGGGCAUUGCUGAACAAAACCAGGCCCUGUCUGCUGCAGUGGAUGCUAACACAGAGGAGAAACGACUUCUGUCCAGAUUAGUGGUGAAGACAAAGAAAGCACAAGCUGAUGCUUCUGAUCUACAGAGGUCUCUUGAUGGUCUCCAGGAUCAAAUAGCAUUACAGACUCCUCAGCUGAAGAAAAAUGCACAAGAAACUGACUUUGUUAAACUCAAGUGUAAAGAAUAUGAGAAAAGCAACAGGGAACUUGAGGGAUAUCAAAGCAAAGCACAGUUAGAUUCCUCAAUCUACCACAAUUCCCUUGUUAAGAAGGCAGAGGUAUCAACUUAAGCCAUCCUAUUCACUGUACUUGUGUACUCUACCUGAUCAGAGGUCACUCCUUUAUACUGAUCACUUUGGAAAUUUAUUGUGAAAGGUUCUGUUAAAAGGAAGUGAGACUAAUUGAAGAAAAGAUGAAACCAAUGAAGAGGAAGUUAGAGGGUUACCAUAGCCUUCCACCUGAUAUUUCUCAAGCUAAGGU
rnacentral:misc_RNA from 1 species